GCAAUUAAAAACAGGUUUGGUCUCCCUCUGCAUCAGUAAGACGACGUCAAAGCUACAUUCACCCCGAAAAAUUUCCCUUGUGAAUUCAAAUGAACUUGCACCUGAUGAUACAUAAUAUCUUUCUGGAAUAUUUCUGAAGAGCCAAGGAGCUGAGAGGAAGCUCAUUGUAGCUCUCCAGGAGUGGUAAGAAGCUCCACGCGAAGCGUUUCACCCUAGAAAGCCCUUCCAGCCCAGUGGCUGGCCUCACGAACUCUCCUGGUCCUCUGCUGCUUUGUAAGAGAGCUGCAAAAGGUGCCCUCGAUGGCUGUGAGUUUCUUUGCUCCUCUGAAGCCAUCAAAAUGCAUGAGGCUGACCUACCAGCGGGUGAGCAGACGGUUUCCUCAUCUGUAAAAUGAUCUGGAGAAAGAAAUGGCAA